CUACGGAGGGUGCGAGCGUUAAUCGGAAUUACUGGGCGUAAAGCGCGCGUAGGCGGUUUGGUCAGUCGGAUGUGAAAGCCCUAGGCUCAACCUGGGAAUGGCAUUCGAUACUGCCUGACUAGAGUAUGCUAGAGGGAAGUGGAAUUUCCGGUGUAGCGGUGAAAUGCGUAGAUAUCGGAAGGAACACCAGUGGCGAAGGCGACUUCCUGGGCCAAUACUGACGCUGAGGUGCGAAAGCGUGGGGAGCAAACAGGAUUAGAAACCCGAGUAGUCC
rnacentral:rRNA from 1 species